GAUGAACGCUAGCGGCAGGCCUAAUACAUGCAAGUCGGACGGGAUUGAGAAGCUUGCUUUUCAUGAGAGUGGCGCACGGGUGCGUAACACGUAUGUAACCUACCCAUAUCAGGGGGAUAGCCUCUCGAAAGAGAGAUUAAGACCGCAUAACAUUAUUGAAUGGCAUCAUUUAAUAAUCAAAUAUUUAUAGGAUAUGGAUGGGCAUGCGGAACAUUAGCUAGUUGGUAAGGUAACGGCUUACCAAGGCUACGAUGUUUAGGGGAUCUGAGAGGAUGACCCCCCACACUGGUACUGAGACACGGACCAGACUCCUACCGGAGGCAGCAGUAAGGAAUAUUGGUCAAUGGACGAAAGUCUGAACCAGCCAUGCCGCGUGCAGGAAGACGGCCCUAUGGGUUGUAAACCGCUUUUGCAGGAGAAUAAACCUCGAUACGUGUAUCGAGCUGAAUGUACUCUGAGAAUAAGGAUCGGCUAACUCCGUGCCAGCCGCCGCGGUAA
rnacentral:rRNA from 1 species